rnacentral:tRNA from 1 species
GGGGAUUUAGCUCAGCGGCAUAAGCACCUGCCUUGCAAGCAGGUGGUGGUAAGAGUACCCA